GAGGGUGUAGUUCAUGGGUAGUGCAUGUGCUUAGCACGCACAAGGUCCUGGGUUCAAUCCCCAGUCCCUCCA
rnacentral:tRNA from 1 species